rnacentral:rRNA from 1 species
AACGAACGCUGGCGGCAUGCCUAACACAUGCAAGUCGAACGAUUGCCUUCGGGUGAUAGUGGCGCACGGGUGCGUAACGCGUGGGAAUCUGCCCUUAGGUUCGGAAUAACAGCUGGAAACGGCUGCUAAUACCGGAUGAUAUCGCGAGAUCAAAGAUUUAUCGCCUGAGGAUGAGCCCGCGUUGGAUUAGGGAGUUGGUGGGGUAAAGGCCUACCAAGCCGACGAUCCAUAGCUGGUCUGAGAGGAUGAUCAGCCACACUGGGACUGAGACACGGCCCAGACUCCUACGGGAGGCAGCAGUGGGGAAUAUUGGACAAUGGGCGCAAGCCUGAUCAAGCAAUGCCGCGUCAGUGAUGAAGGCCCUAGGGUUGUAAAGCUCUUUUACCCGGGAAGAUAAUGACUGUACCGGGAGAAUAAGCCCCGGCUAACUCCGUG